CUGAAAAUAAGAGAGUACAAUUUUUUCAAAAGAAUUUCACAAAACACAUUUAUAUACUUCUUCCUGGGCCCUCUUGAAUUUGAGGAAGUAUGUUUCAGGAGAGCGAUAGAUGCAAAAAGAUAGAGCAUGUUUGAAACAGGCGCAAAAAUAAAUAAAGUGCAAAUGCGGCAGCCGUCUGGACCUCUGGACCUCUUUUACCAAAAGCCGACGCUCUCU
ensembl:ncRNA F01E11.9 ncRNA